GUCUUUGUAGCGUAAUAGAUAGCGUGUUGGACUUCUAAUCAAAAUGUCGUGGGUUCGAAUCCCACCUAGGACG